AGAAAGAACAGGAAAUUCUCUUGCAUAUAUUUUGUCAAAACGUCCCUACUGGAAAUAGACAAUACAAGGAGGAAACUAGUAGAAGGGUAGCCCAGUUCACUGGUGAAUAAAUACAAUUCUGCUUUCUCAAUGGAUACAAAACCGAAUUUAUAUAGUAUUAAUUACAGAGUAUUACUAUUACCAUACCCGAAGGCAACGGGGAAAAAGGUUCAAGAGGGACAACAGACUUAUCUUGACUUCUGGUCGUUCUCGCCCAUCUCUGUAUUUGCUACAUUUCUCAUCUCUCAGAACAAUAGAAUAAAUAUUGUUCCAUGACAACAUAACCACCACGGCAUUUAGAUAAACCACUUUACAUUAAUUUAAUUUGAUAAAAAAGGUAAUGUCUAUAAUUGUAUCAACCAGAGGCCCUAGCUAAU
rnacentral:lncRNA from 1 species